ACGCUCGACACCUACGGGAGACAGCAGUGGGGAAUAUUGCACAAUGGGGAAACCCUGAUGCAGCGACGCCGCGUGAGCGAAGAAGUAUUUCGGUAUGUAAAGCUCUAUCAGCAGGGAAGAAACUGACGGUACCUGACUAAGAAGCACCGGCUAAAUACGUGUCAGCAGCCGCGGUAAUCUGAGCGGGCUGGCAAGGC
rnacentral:rRNA from 1 species